rnacentral:tRNA from 5 species
GUCCCUAUCGUCUAGCCCGGCCCAGGACACCGGCCUUUCACGCCGGCGACAGGGGUUCGAAUCCCCUUGGGGACGCCA